CGCGCCGGCUGGCCGGGCAAUCCUAGCAUCCUUCGAGAUCGUUCAGUCCAACCGCACCGGCGCCAAACCGUGCCUCUGAGCACCGCACCCACACCUACAAGGAUGGUGACUCCACCAUCUCCCGCUGGCUGGCCGCCCCUGCCGUGAGGAAUUCUUCCCGAGGUCUGAGCAUCACCUGGGUUAAGAUAAAAGAAGCGCAAUUAUGGAUUUAUAAGUAAUGUGCUGUGGUCACAGAUGAAAUGGAUUCUCUUUUCCCAUCUAGGACACCCAGUGUUGCUUACAGUUGUGUAUAAGUCAGACUCUCUAUGCAAGUGGCGCAAAAAGAAAUAGCACAAAUCCUUUUUUUGUAAAGAUGGCCUGGACUUUAGGCAGUCCUUAUGAAUGAAAAUGAUGAGGAUAUAUCCCCUUGGAGCUGUGCUGUUCCUUAGAACCAAACUAUCCAUCGGUUUCAGUGAAACACUUUGGGACGGUGAUAAAUAAUGAGCCAGCAGAAGAACGAAAUGUUGGCUUCGGAAGUGCUUGGGCAAAGGACACAGCGGUAGCGCCGAACUGAGCAACACCCUGCUGUAAACCACUGAAUCCCAGCGCUAGGAAGAAAGCGCUUUCGCCCCAAGGCAAAGCCCGGGGCCAGCUUACGGGAGGAGCCCGGCGGCACGGAGCGCCGGUCCUCCGCACCGCAAGGGCGGCGCCCUCUCCCCCCGCGCCAGUCACGCUCUGUGGUGUCGCCGCGCUUCCGGGCGGGCAUGGCGGGCGCCGGGGAGGAGCCCUUCGCGCCCUCGGCGCUGGGCACUAGGCCACACUGGGAUGCAGCGUAUGAGAGAGAGCUGCAAGCUUUUCAGGAGACGGGAGACGCUGGGGAAAUUUGGUUUGGAGAAGAAAGCAUGGUUCGCAUAAUCAGAUGGUUGGAAAAACAGCAGGUGCCCCUUGACAGCUCAGUGCUUGACAUUGGAACCGGGAAUGGUGUUUUACUGAUUGAAUUGGCAAAAAAUGGCUUCACUAACCUCACUGGGAUUGAUUACUCACCUUCUGCAAUACAACUUUCAGAAAAAGUAAAGGAGAAAGAAGGGAUGUCUAACAUUAAAUUACUGGUAGAAGACUUCCUGACUCCAUCAGCGGAGUUGUCGGGAUUUCAGGUCUGUAUUGACAAGGGGACUUUCGAUGCCGUGAGCCUUAAUCCUGAGGAUGCAGUUGGAAAAAGGAAGCAGUACGUGAGGUCUCUCUGCAGUGUAUUGAAACCAGAGGGCUUUUUCCUCAUAACAUCUUGCAACUGGACCAAGGAGGAGCUGCUGAAUGAGUUCAGAGAAGCUUCUGAAUCUCAUGCCUGAAGCUUGAAACUCCAAGAGUGUGGAUCUAAAACAGCCAUCCCUUCUGGGGAACUAAAAUCACUGGAUUUGAAAUUCUGGAGGAGCUGCCAACACCCAAGUUUUGCUUUGGAGGAAGAAUUGGAAACAGCGUAACAGCAUUGGUUUUCCAAAGAAAAAAGUGAGACCAUCCAUCUUGGACAAAUUAGAUUAGCUGAGAAAAGUCUGAACUUUAAAGUAAGCCUGACAGCAAACCUCAGACACGUGUGUAAAUAAAUGUUAUUUGAGUACACAGUUAAAUGCUAUGUAUGGAACUCCAAGGGACUAUAAAACUCUGCCCUAGAAACAUAA